rnacentral:pre_miRNA from 1 species
CAAAAUAUCACAUGUAGCUCAUACAUAUAUAUGUAUAUGCAUGGGCUACAUGUGACGUUUUG